GAUUUCUGGCUUGAAACAUCUGGCCGGCCACGGUUUCGUGUGUUAGUGCUUGAUGUUCUGGCCAUCCUUCCAAUCGCUAUUGGCUAUUCUUCAUUGAAUGGUCAGUAGUAUUGGAUCUUUUACUUUGAAAAAAUUAGAGUGUUUCAAGCAGGCUUUAUGCUAUGAAUACAUUAGCAUGGAAUAAUAAUUUAGGACUUUGGUUCUAUUUUGUUGGUUUCUAGAACUCGAGUAAUGAUUGAUAGGGAUAGUUGGGGGUGCUAGUAUUCAGUGGCCAGAGGUGAAAUUCUUGGAUUCACUGAAGACUAACUUAUGCGAAAGCAUU
rnacentral:rRNA from 1 species